UUGAAUUUGAAAAUAUUAAUAAAUAAUGAAGAAAUGUAUCUUUGGACACAAUGAACACAAGUUAAGUGAAAGUUAAUAAGUGCUUCAAAUUAUACACGGAAUCUGCUUUUAAAAGUACACUAUCUUGUCGCUGCCAGUGAAACUGAACUUCGGCGUCUGUGCUGCUUUUGAACAAGAUUAAAUGUUCGUGAAUCAAAGGCGAAUGGAAAUAUCGCAACUUUCUUGCACCGGGGGCUUGUAGCUCGUUCCAUUCCGCCGACGACCACGAACGCGAGCUGCAGUGUGCGACGACCGGAGAGCAACUUAGCUGAGUGCCUGCUGAGCUGUGCUGAGAGCUGCGCUGCCGAGCCGCGGCGCGCCCUCCAGCCACCAUGGACCUCAAAUUAAUGGUGUUGAUGAUGCUGAUCGCUGUUCAGGUGCUGUCCCACAACGAUAGCGUGUGCGUUUGCACCUGUCAUACCCGAGACCCCCAAAGCCCCACCCUGACAGGCACUGUAUCCCUGCGUAAUCCUGAUUUUGACAUAUUUGAAGACCCAUGGUACGUGACUCUUUUGUUAUAGUAGUUUAGUUUAGUGACUUCAGU